AACGAACGCUGGCGGCAUGCCUAACACAUGCAAGUCGAACGAGACCUUCGGGUCUAGUGGCGCACGGGUGCGUAACGCGUGGGAACCUGCCCUUAGGUUCGGAAUAACUCCCCGAAUGGGGUGCUAAUACCGGAUAAUGUCUUCGGACCAAAGAUUUAUCGCCUUUGGAUGGGCCCGCGUUGGAUUAGCUAGUUGGUAGGGUAAAAGCCUACCAAGGCGACGAUCCAUAGCUGGUCUGAGAGGAUGAUCAGCCACACUGGGACUGAGACACGGCCCAGACUCCUACGGGAGGGAAGAAGGGGGGAUAUUGGAAAAUGGGGGGAAGGCUGAUCCCACCAUGCCCGGGGAGUGAUGAAAGCCUUAGGGUUGUAAAGCUCUUUUAACCGGGAAGGUAAUGACAGUACCGGGGAAAAAAGCCCCGGCUAACUCCGUG
rnacentral:rRNA from 1 species